UCACUUUGGCAGUGCAUAUGUUAAAAUUGGAACAAUACAGAGGAGAUUAGCAUAGCCCCUGCAUAAGAUGAGACACAAAUUUGUGAAGCAUUUCAUACUUUU